CCUCACAGCCUCCCCGCCCCUCCGCACGCAGCCGCCGUGGCUGGCGACAAACUAGCAACAGAGGCUUUACACUUGGCUGAAAAGGCCAGCUCUCUUUAGAACAGCUCCACAGUAUUUUUUUCCCCCCAACACGAAGGCCGGCUCAUUCCCCGCCAUCAAUGGGCAAGGGAGAGGCGCAAAGGAAGGACUUACUGCUACACGCUCAGAGUUUCAGCUUAACAACAUCCACUUGACUGUAACAGUGGUUAAAGAAUAGAAGCAGCAGAAGGAAAAGAUGGAGGAAAAACUGUUACAAACCAACAGAACAAAACUGGCUGAGGAGAAUUCUGAGCUGUCUCUAGUCCUGGAAACAAGGACUUGACAGCCUGAUGGAUGAUGGUUCUUUUUUCUUUGGUGUCUUCAACUACCUGUGUUAGUACACAUACAUGCAGAAACCAAAUAAAUUAAUACAAAAGUGGAGGAUGCUUUAAAGGAAAAAAAAAAAACUAGGUAAGAUUAUUUAGUGUGUGAAUGUUUAUUUGAAACUACCAGGUAUAAUCCUACUCAUCUCCAUGUCCCAAAUUUAGCUCAAAAGUUAUACUUUCAAUAUGUGGAAUAUUUAAAAAUAUCCAUGUUUUAAUGUCAUCUUCGUAUCUUUCUUGUUACAGAAGACCAUAUUUAUCUUAUUUUCUAUUAAAUCACUAAACACUGACCUUGACAGUAGUGUUCCAUCAGGAUAAAUGCUUUAUGUAAACCUCCUUAUUCUUUAAAACAAUACUAGACAGGAAACCAAAAUACUGCAAGGUAAUUUUAACACCACAAAAAUUAAAACCUAUAUUUAAGCUCCUAUGUACAGUCUCACUCAAAAUCAAAGUAACAACUCACACAUGCAUGAAUUCGAGUACAUCUGGGAGACUUUAGAGAAUUAAACCCUAAACUGGACACAGUUUGGUGUUACCUGUCACAUCACAGACAAAUUGCUCUUAUAUCUUACACUCAUUAGAAAGCGUGUACCUUCUACAGCCUCCCUCCCUCCCUCCCUCAGCCUCUCUCUGCCCCCAUCCCAAACUUCUCACAGUUUCAUAAUUUUACCUCU